GUCUGUUGCAUGAAUGUUUUCAUUAAGCCAUAAUGCAAUUUUCUUUGCAUUCUUGGAAUUAGACUUCAAAUUUCAUCGCACUGUCUUAUUACUUUUCUUUUGACAACAUUUUGCAUUAAUCUUUUUCCUGCGCAUGCAUACUAAGCAGCUACAAAGAGAACAUAUCCCCCUGUCUGCAAUCCACUGUCCUGGAACUAAUGGGCCAUGCUGUGCUGGUGUAUUAGGC